rnacentral:rRNA from 1 species
GACGAACGCUGGCGGCGUGCUUAACACAUGCAAGUCGAACGGAAAGGCCCUGCUUGCCGGGUACUCGAGUGGCGAACGGGUGAGUAACACGUGGGUGAUCUGCCCUGCACUUCGGGAUAAGCCUGGGAAACUGGGUCUAAUACCGGAUAGGAGCCAUUUUUAGUGUGAUGGUUGGAAAGUUUUUUCGGUGUAGGAUGAGCUCGCGGCCUAUCAGCUUGUUGGUGGGGUAAUGGCCUACCAAGGCGGCGACGGGUAGCCGGCCUGAGAGGGUGGACGGCCACAUUGGGACUGAGAAACAGCCCAGACUCCUACGGGAGGCAGCAGUGGGGAACAUUGCACAAUGGGCGCAAGCCUGAUGCAGCGACGCCGCGUGGGGGAUGACCGCCUUCGGGUUGAAAACUCCUUUCGCUAGGGACGAAGCUUUUUGUGACGGUACCUAGAGAAGAAGCACCGGCUAACUACGUG